UAGCCAUAUCAUGUUGAAACAUUGGUUCUUGUAUGAUCACUGAAGUUAAACAGCAUCGAGCGUGGUCAGUACCUAGAUGGGUGACUACUUGGGAAAACUAGGUGCU